rnacentral:lncRNA from 1 species
GCUGAGCGGUGGCAGCACACACCUUUAAUCCCAGUACUUGGGAGGCAGAGGCAGGAGGAUUUCUGAGUUCGAGGCCAGCCUGGUCUACAGAGUGAGUUCCAGGACAGCCAGGGCUAUACAGAGAAACCCUGUCUCGAAAAAACAAACAAAAAAAAACCCCCCAACCAACCAACCAAACAAAAACAAAACAAAACAGACAAAAAAGAAAAAAGAAUAUAAGAAAAUAGGCAACUAAGAUGAACAUGAUUUUUGAGGCAGUUCCAGGAGGGGUAUUGAGUUCUACAAAGCCCUACAGAACAGGCAGAGCUAAAUAGAGAAAACUUGUCUUUAAAAAACAAAAACAAACCAUAAUAGGUGA